UACAGAGGGUGCAAGCGUUACUCGGAAUUACUGGGCGUAAAGCGUGCGUAGACGGUUAUUUAAGUCAGGUGUGAAAGCCCCGGGCUCAACCUGGGAAUUGCAUUUGAGACUGAAUAGCUAGGGUGCGGAAGAGGGAAGCGGAAUUUCCGGUGUAGCGGUGAAAUGCGUAGAUAUCGGAAGGAACACCAGUGGCGAAAGCGGCUUCCUGGUCCAGCACCGACGUUCAGGCACGAAAGCGUGGGGAGCAAACAGG
rnacentral:rRNA from 1 species